CGGCUGCCAAUCGUUCGCGCAUACACACAGACACGUACGUACGGCAUAUCCACAUACUCGCGCGCACGUGAGGGAUUUCUGUAUGCGCCUUUGUCUUUGUUGAUCCCUCUUGACGUUUCUGUGAAAAAGAAGCUCUCUCUCUUACACACACACACACACACACACACACACAGACACAGACAGAGAGAGAGAAGGCGACCAAGAAAAGGUAGCAUAUCACCGGUAUUCCACUUGGCCCUACGUUCCCGAUAGCGGCAACAGCAGCACAGAGGCACGCGUGCCCCGCUAACGGCGUCGCUGUUACGUUUGGGGCCAAAGCGCUCUGUCUCUGAAACCGACACCACUGCCGAGCCAAAAGGCUGGUGGAAAGGGAGGGACAAGAAGGACCUUGGUCGAUAUGGUGUCUUCUUUGGACUGAUCUUACUGUCGAUAACAUCAAUUCGCUCGCCACCCCCGUAGCGCUCCUUUUUUCAUCCGUGUGCGUGUGUUUGAUCUAUUCUGUUCAUUGCCCGUCUAUUACCCAUCCCGUGAACACCCUUCUCCUGUGUGUGUGUGUGCGUGCGCGCGUGUCUUGCUUUCCUCUGCGCUCAUUCUCCUCUCGCUUUCUCCUCACUAGUCCCUCAUUCUUCUCCCUUUUCUCUUUGGCUUCUUCUUUCUACCGCUUUCCUUCCCCGCGCUCUCCUCCCUUGUGUCCGCAACACCUGCCUACUCUCAUCAAUAAAAG
rnacentral:misc_RNA from 1 species